GAAAUUUACUGGAAUGGACCUACUGAUAGUUUUAAAUUAAUUUAAAUCAGUUCUUUCAUAGGAAAACUGCUUCAAAGGCUUUAAUAAACAUGAGCUCAGGCACGUAGAAACAAAAAGAAGAACUAUUAAAGAAACAAGUCUGAAAUUUUUCUGCUUCCAAAGUCUCAAAGUUGCCUGUAUAAUCAAUAGGUUUGAUUUAGACUAGCAAGAUGGCUUUCUACAAAGAGAUCUGAAGGAGACAGUCGAUUACAGCAUUGGAGCCUCCUCAGGAGAACAAAUCUAUCUUGGGAUGGCUUCAUCAAGUCUGAACUCUGACAUGCCAGUUGUUUCCUCCUGCCUUUCAUUUGAUUCAGUUGUGC
rnacentral:lncRNA from 1 species